GGAAGAUUUACAGAGCAUUAUGAUUGUCCCUCAGCCUCCUUUUCUCCAGACUGGAGCAACCCAGAGCCCUCAGCUGCUGCUCACAGGAUGUUCUUUCCAGCCCUUUCAUGUGUUUUGUUACCUUCCUCUGGAUGCAUUCAAGGACCCUCGUGUUUUCUGUCCCAGAACUGCCCACAGUGCUCAAGGGGAGGCUGCACCAACCCUGAAGAAGUCAGAAAUGUAUGAAUAUCACUGUGGACAGCUUCCAUGUGAACUGGAGUUCUCUAUCCUUUCCUUGAUGGGGCUGCCUGGCAGCAAAUCUGCUCACCCACAGCUGCAUUGCCAAUGCACAAGGAUGAACCAUCACAGCUCCCCUCCCUUUUGCUGGCAUUCUUCCUUGCAGGUUGGCUGUACUGACUAUGUUACCCCAGACCAUCCUAAACACCAGCCCAUGAUAGAUCUUCAGGCAUGGACAUGACACUGAGCAACCCACUUUGACCAGCAAGUUAGAUUGGAUCAUCCCCAGAGGCACCUUCCAGCCCAAAUCAUUCCACAUGCCUGUGAUUGUUUGGAAGACUACUGUGUCACACGGAGCACACAGCUGGCAGUGUGCAG
rnacentral:lncRNA from 1 species